GUCGAGCGGUAAGGCCCUUCGGGGUACACGAGCGGCGAACGGGUGAGUAACACGUGGGUGAUCUGCCUCGCACUCUGGGAUAAGCCUGGGAAACUGGGUCUAAUACCGGAUAUGACCUUACAUCGCAUGGUGUUUGGUGGAAAGAUUUAUCGGUGCGAGAUGGGCCCGCGGCCUAUCAGCUUGUUGGUGGGGUAAUGGCCUACCAAGGCGACGACGGGUAGCCGGCCUGAGAGGGCGACCGGCCACACUGGGACUGAGACACGGCCCAGACUCCUACGGGAGGCAGCAGUGGGGAAUAUUGCACAAUGGGCGAAAGCCUGAUGCAGCGACGCCGCGUGAGGGAUGACGGCCUUCGGGUUGUAAACCUCUUUCGACAGGGACGAAGCGCAAGUGACGGUACCUGUAGAAGAAGCACCGGCCAACUACGUGCCAGCAGCCGCGGUAAUACGUAGGGUGCGAGCGUUGUCCGGAAUUACUGGGCGUAAAGAGCUUGUAGGCGGCUUGUCGCGUCGAUCGUGAAAACUUGGGGCUCAACCCCAAGCUUGCGGUCGAUACGGGCAGGCUUGAGUACUUCAGGGGAGACUGGAAUUCCUGGUGUAGCGGUGAAAUGCGCAGAUAUCAGGAGGAACACCGGUGGCGAAGGCGGGUCUCUGGGAAGUAACUGACGCUGAGAAGCGAAAGCGUGGGUAGCGAACAGGAUUAGAUACCCUGGUAGUCCACGCCGUAAACGGUGGGUACUAGGUGUGGGUUUCCUUCCACGGGAUCCGUGCCGUAGCUAACGCAUUAAGUACCCCGCCUGGGGAGUACGGCCGCAAGGCUAAAACUCAAAGGAAUUGACGGGGGCCCGCACAAGCGGCGGAGCAUGUGGAUUAAUUCGAUGCAACGCGAAGAACCUUACCUGGGUUUGACAUACACCGGAAACCUGCAGAGAUGUAGGCCCCCUUGUGGUCGGUGUACAGGUGGUGCAUGGCUGUCGUCAGCUCGUGUCGUGAGAUGUUGGGUUAAGUCCCGCAACGAGCGCAACCCUUAUCUUAUGUUGCCAGCGCGUAAUGGCGGGGACUCGUGAGAGACUGCCGGGGUCAACUCGGAGGAAGGUGGGGACGACGUCAAGUCAUCAUGCCCCUUAUGUCCAGGGCUUCACACAUGCUACAAUGGCCGGUACAGAGGGCUGCGAUACCGUGAGGUGGAGCGAAUCCCUUAAAGCCGGUCUCAGUUCGGAUCGGGGUCUGCAACUCGACCCCGUGAAGUUGGAGUCGCUAGUAAUCGCAGAUCAGCAACGCUGCGGUGAAUACGUUCCCGGGCCUUGUACACACCGCCCGUCACGUCAUGAAAGUCGGUAACACCCGAAGCCGGUGGCCUAACCCCUUGUGGGAGGGAGCCGU
rnacentral:rRNA from 1 species